rnacentral:rRNA from 1 species
UACGUAGGGAGCAAGCGUUGUCCGGAAUCAUUGGGCGUAAAGCGCGCGUAGGUGGCCCCGUAAGUCCGCUGUGAAAGUCAAAGGCUCAACCUUUGAAAGCCGGUGGAUACUGUGGGACUAGAGUACGGAAGAGGCGAGUGGAAUUCCUGGUGUAGCGGUGAAAUGCGCAGAUAUCAGGAGGAACACCGAUUGCGAAGGCAGCUCGCUGGGACGUUACUGACGCUGAGACGCGAAAGCGUGGGGAGCAAACAGG